UAAUGCUUCUGUUAUAUAAGUAAAUAAGUCUCUAAGAGGUGACACAAACAACACUGAAGAUGAAAAUGAAUUAUUGUUUUAUCUUAUUUACAUUGUUGGUUUCCCUACAUUUGGGAAAUGCUUCACAAAACGCACCUGUCCACGUAAUAAGAAUCCUCCAAGACUGUGGAUGUCCUCAUAAUUGUUUGAGUUAUUUGAGGGUUUGUCUUAUAGCCGGAGCAUGCCGACGAUGUAAAACACCCAACUAUGGAAAAAGAAGUUAUCCUACUAAACAACGACAUAAAUUUACCACAAGACCAUCGAAAGAAGUUUUAAUACAAUCAACACCUCUUAAUAAUUAAUAUAUUUAAUUCAACUUGU